rnacentral:rRNA from 1 species
UACGAAGGGGGCUAGCGUUGCUCGGAAUCACUGGGCGUAAAGGGUGCGUAGGCGGGUUUUUUAAGUCAGGGGUGAAAUCCUGGAGCUCAACUCCAGAACUGCCUUUGAUACUGAAGAUCUUGAGUCCGGGAGAGGUGAGUGGAACUGCGAGUGUAGAGGUGAAAUUCGUAGAUAUUCGCAAGAACACCAGUGGCGAAGGCGGCUCACUGGCCCGGUACUGACGCUGAGGCACGAAAGCGUGGGGAGCAAACAGG